GUCUACGGUCAUGCUACCCUGAAUAAGCUCGAUUCCGUCUGAUCUUGGAAGCUAAGCAGGGUCGGGCCUGGUUAGUACUUGGAUGGGAGACCACCUAGGAAGAUGCUGUAGGCA
rnacentral:rRNA from 1 species